GAUCAUGGCUCAGGAUGAACGCUAGCUACAGGCUUAACACAUGCAAGUCGAGGGGCAGCGGGGAAGUAGCUUGCUACUCUGCCGGCGACCGGCGCACGGGUGAGUAACACGUAUCCAACCUGCCGUCAGCUCGGGGAUAGCCCUCUGAAAGGAGGAUUAAUACCCGAUGCGAUUCUUGGGGGACAUCCCCCCUGAACCAAAGAUUCAUCGGCUGUCGAUGGGGAUGCGUAUGAUUAGCUUGUCGGCGGGUAACGGCCCACCGAGGCGACGAUCAUUAGGGGUUCUGAGAGGAAGGUCCCCCACAUAGGAACUGAGACACGGUCCUAACUCCUACGGGAGGCAGCAGUGAGGAAUAUUGGUCAAUGGUCGAGAGACUGAACCAGCCAAGUAGCGUGAAAGGAUGACUGCCCUACGGGUUGUAAACUUCUUUUAUGGGAGGAUAAAGUUCGGCACGCGUGCCGUUUUGCAGGUAUCCCAUGAAUAAGCAUCGGCUAAUUCCGUGCCAGCCGCUGC
rnacentral:rRNA from 1 species